GUUCAGAUGGUUGUCCAGGACACUGAACUCAAACAAAUCCUGGACAAAACAGAGAGACGGUGUACAUGAUCAACAGACUGAGUCACACAGAAGAGAGAGAGGUUAACUCAGAGCAAACCCCAGCAGCAGAAGUGUCUCUGUUCAGGAUGUGAACGGUGGUGAAGAGUGGAGAAACCAGAAACAUCUCGACUGAAACCUCAGAGGGGAAGCCCCGCCUGGCCUCCCACCACCACGUUCUUCUGCUGCUGUGGGAAAAUAAAGACCACAUGACUCAGAGAAACUGACGCAGAAACAUCUUGCCAUGAUGUGAUGGAGCCUAGGUGGAGGUUCAACUGAAGAAACUGAUUGCUCUCCUAUAUCCACCUAUAACAACCAAUCAGCUUGGAACCACACCUCCACGAAAGCCAAUUGGAAUCCAAAGUUCAUCUUAAAAGGC